CCCCAUAUCACCACUGAAAACCUGACCCUUCUUACCUCUGGGCCUCUGUAAGGUCGUCCAUUAACAAUUUCAGGGGAAGCAUACAGUGGGCUUCCACAAAAGGUUUGCAGAAAUUUGUCUUUGUGAUAAAGGUUGGAGAGUCCAAAAUCAGCAAUCUUAAUAUUAAAAUUGUCAUCGAGAAGGAUGUUUUCCAAUUUUAGGUCCCUGUGGACCACGCCAUUCUUGUGGCAGUAAUGUACAGCAGAGACUAUUUGUCGGAAGAAGUGUCUUGUUUCUCUUUCGCUCAGUCGUCGCCGCUCACUGAUAUAAUCAUACAGCUCUCCCUUACUUGCGUACUCCAUGAUGAUCACAAUCUUAUCCUUAUUUUCAAACACUUCAUAUAUGGUGAUGAUAUGAGGGUGGCUGAGGGAUGACAUGAUCUCAAUCUCCCGUCUGAUGUGAACCAUAUCUUGUUCAUCCUUAAUUUUGUCCUUACGAAUGGAUUUUAUUGCAACCACUCUGCCGGAGAACCGCUCGAUGGCCCGCUUGACUUUGCCGUAGGUGCCUUUGCCCAAGGUCUCCUGCAGCUCGUAGCGAUGCUUCAGGUUGUGCUUGUGGUGAUGCCGCUUCACCCCCUGCUGCUUCCUCGGCCCCGCCGCCGUCGCCGCUACCCCCGGGGACGCAGCCUCCCCGAGCGGCUCCUCCAUGGCCGCUGCCGCCGCCUCGCCGCCGGAGGAGCAGCGGGGCUGCGCGGGGCUGCUGCUGCUGCCGCAGGCGGCCGCCUCGGCGCCCUCCAUGCCCGGCGGCGGCGGGCGCUGGUGUGAGCGCCCCGCCGGCCUCGCAGCCUCUGCCUCCGCCCCGCG
rnacentral:lncRNA from 1 species